rnacentral:rRNA from 1 species
UACGAGAGAUCACGUUAUCCGGAAUCAUUGGGUUUAAAGGGUCCGUAGGCGGUUUGGUAAGUCAGUGGUGAAAGCCCAUCGCUCAACGGUGGAACGGCCAUUGAUACUGCCAGACUUGAAUUAUUAGGAAGUAACUAGAAUAUGUAGUGUAGCGGUGAAAUGCUUAGAGAUUACAUGGAAUACCAAUUGCGAAGGCAGGUUACUACUAAUGGAUUGACGCUGAUGGACGAAAGCGUGGGUAGCGAACAGG